CCCGAACCAGGAGAGAUAUAAGUAGUCUUAUGUUUUAGAUAAUGACAUUAUUAUGUGGCAAUAUAAUCAUAAAAAGAGUACUUGGUAGCGAAAAGCUUGCAAUUCCUGAGAUAGCUGGUUGUUAAAGAAAUGUAUUUAGUACAUUAUAAAAAAUUAAGAAGUGUCGAGAUUUCCUAAGUAAAGUACUUUUGAUAAAUAGUAUCAUCUUUGAAUAAUACUUAACGAUGACAAAACAAAUUAUCAUUAUAUUCAAACAUCAGUCUUUUUACUAUUUAAUAACCUUACAAACUUUUGUCAAUGUAUAUAAUGUAAAAAUUAGUAAUAAUAUAAAACAAGAAUAAGGAACUCGGCAAUUUUUCCUCRCCUGUUUAYCAAAAACAUAGCCUUAAGAAAUAAUUUAAGGUAAGCCCUGCCCAGUGGAAAAUAUUCUUAACGGCCGCAGUACCUUGACUGUGCUAAGGUAGCGUAAUCAGUUGGCUUUUAAAUGGAGUCGAGAAUGAACGGGGCCAUGGGGAAAUACUGUCUCCUUCUUGAUUAAUUUAACUUGCUUAAUAGGUGAAAAUACCUUUAUAAAGAAAAAAGACGAGAAGACCCUUAGAGCCUAACAAUAUAAUAUAGUUUAUUUGUUUUUGUUGGGGCGACAAGAAGACAAAAUACUCUUCUUUAAUACUAAACGAUUAUAAUAUAUAAGAACAGGCUACCUUAGGGAUAACAGCAUAAUUAUAUUUUAGUUUGUGACCUCGAUGUUGGACUAGGAACUUGAUGACUAGUCGUCAAUAAAGGAAAGUUCUGUUCGAACUGUUUUUCCUACRUGAUCUGAGUUCAGACCGGCGGAAGCCAGGUCAGAUUCUAUCUUUUUAUUUUAUUAACACAGUACGAAAGGACAGGUUAAUAGCAAAAAAAUUUGUAUUUAACUUGGCAGAAAUUAAUGCUUUUGGUUUAGAACCAAUUUAUACGAUAUAAUCGU
rnacentral:rRNA from 1 species